GAUGAACGCUGGCGGCGUGCCUAAUACAUGCAAGUCGAGCGAACAGACGAGAGUGCUUGCACUCUCUGACGUUAGCGGCGGACGGGUGAGUAACACGUGGGUAACCUACCUAUAAGACUGGGAUAACUUCGGGAAACCGGAGCUAAUACCGGAUAAUAUUUAGCUUCGCAUGAAGCAAUAGUGAAAGACGGUUCUGCUGUCACUUAUAGAUGGACCCGCGGUGUAUUAGCUAGUUGGUGAGGUAACGGCUCACCAAGGCAACGAUACAUAGCCGACCUGAGAGGGGGGGCGCCCACCCGGGGGGGGAAACGGGGCCCAGACCCCUGCGGGAGGCACCAGAGGGGAAUUUCCGGAAGUGGCGGAAAGUCUGACGAAGCAGUGCCACGUGAGAGAAAAAGUUUUUGGGUGCGUAAAACUCUUUUUUAGGGGAAAAACAAGUGUGUUAGUAAAGGAACGGUCCUUGACGGUACUGUCCAAAAAAGCAACGGCUAACUACGU
rnacentral:rRNA from 1 species